UACGGAGGGGGCCAGCGUUGUUCGGAAUCAUUGGGCGUAAAGGGCGCGUAGGCGGCUUUGUAAGUCGGGGGUGAAGGCCUGUGGCUCAACCACAGAAUUGCCUUCGAUACUGCAUGGCUUGAGACCGGAAGAGGUAAGUGGAACUGCGAGUGUAGAGGUGAAAUUCGUAGAUAUUCGCAAGAACACCAGUGGCGAAGGCGGCUUACUGGUCCGGAUCUGACGCUGAGGCGCGAAAGCGUGGGGAGCAAACAGG
rnacentral:rRNA from 1 species